rnacentral:rRNA from 1 species
UACGUAGGGGGCUAGCGUUGUCCGGAAUCAUUGGGCGUAAAGCGCGUGUAGGCGGCCCGGUAAGUCCGCUGUGAAAGUCGGGGGCUCAACCCUCGAAAGCCGGUGGAUACUGUCGGGCUAGAGUACGGAAGAGGCGAGUGGAAUUCCUGGUGUAGCGGUGAAAAUGCGCAGAUAUCAGGAGGAACACCCAUUGCGAAGGCAGCUCGCUGGGGACGUUACUGACGCUGAGGAGCGAAAGCGUGGGGGAGCGAACAGG